AUUGAACGCUGGCGGCAUGCCUUACACAUGCAAGUCGAACGGUAGCACGGGUGCUUGCACCUGGUGGCGAGUGGCGAACGGGUGAGUAAUACAUCGGGACGUACCUUAUCGUGGGGGAUAACGCAGCGAAAGUUGCGCUAAUACCGCAUACGCCCUGAGGGGGAAAGCGGGGGACCGUAAGGCCUCGCGCGAUUGGAGCGGCCGAUGGCAGAUUAGGUAGUUGGUGGGGUAAAGGCCUACCAAGCCGACGAUCUGUAGCUGGUCUGAGAGGACGACCAGCCACGCUGGGACUGAGACACGGCCCAGACUCCUACGGGAGGCAGCAGUGGGGAAUUUUGGACAAUGGGCGCAAGCCUGAUCCAGCCAUUCCGCGUGCAGGAUGAAGGCCCUCGGGUUGUAAACUGCUUUUGUACGGAACGAAAAGGCUCUGGUUAAUACCUGGGGCUCAUGACGGUACCGUAAGAAUAAGCACCGGCUAACUACGUGCCAGCCGCCGCCGUAA
rnacentral:rRNA from 1 species